UGUUCUAAUUUGUCUUCGAAUCGCAGAUUUUGUCGCUCUCGCGAUCGUCAUACAUUAAACAACAUUGAGUGAAUAUGUUCAUAUGAAAUACUUCAUGUUUCAGGACUAAAUUCACCAGCAUUCAUGAUCCUCGGACCACCCGCCCCCUACGCACAGCCGAUUUAUAAAUGUUGCAUCUUUCAAUCAGUGUCAAUCCCAAGAAGAACCCUGAUCAGCUCCUGGAAAAAUCAGUGUUCUUGCAGUAUUGUCAGUCAAAUCUCAAGGAAAGGAUCCCAGAAGAGGAACAUUUACAUUAUUUCAGACUUUUUUCUUUCCUGUGUAACAAUGCCUCAAACAGCUAACACAUUUUAUAUAGUAUACAAUACAAUGUGUAUUAAUAACAGUCCAGUUAGAGUGCUGUGUUAUGCAGUAAAAAUACUUAAUUCUUGAUGACAUGUUGGUUUUAUGUUUACAUUAAACGGUAGUUAUAAUAUAUACUAAAGAAACAUAGUGGAUAAUGCCUUGUACAGGAGCAGGAGUAUGACAGUGUAAUAGUACAUGACUGCUGCGUUCAUCCAUGGAAGGAAUCUGUUAUUCGAAAUAAAGCUUUCCAUGAGGACGAAAAA